GGGGGUGUAGCUCAGAGGUAGAGCGUUCGCUUUGCAUGUGAAAAGUCCCGGGUUCGAACCCCGGCUCCUCCA
rfam:Macrostomum lignano uti_cns_0008126, whole genome shotgun sequence.